rnacentral:sRNA from 1 species
GCCGGGUGUGGUGGCACACACCUGUCAUCCCAGCGGCUUGGGAGGCUGAGGCAGGAGGAUCGUGAGUUCAAGGCCAGCCUCAGCAACAGCGAGGCUCUAAGCAACUCAGUGAGACCCUGUCUCUA